rnacentral:rRNA from 1 species
UACGAAGGGGGGCUAGCGUUGUUCGGAAUUACUGGGCGUAAAGCGCACGUAGGCGGCUUUGCAAGUUAGAGGUGAAAGCCCCGGGGCUCAACUCCGGAAUUGCCUUUAAAACUGCAUCGCUAGAAUUGUGGAGAGGUAAGUGGAAUUCCGAGUGUAGAGGUGAAAUUCGUAGAUAUUCGGAAGAACACCAGUGGCGAAGGCGACUUACUGGACACAUAUUGACGCUGAGGUGCGAAAGCGUGGGGAGCAAACAGG